rnacentral:rRNA from 1 species
AUGUUAAUCGGGGGGGAUUUUAAUAUCCUUCGAUAUCAGCAGGUAAAAAACAACGAUCGGUUUGACACUAGGUGGCCUUUCCUCUUUAAUGCUGUUAUUGACAGUCUCGAUCUGAGGGAGAUCACGAUGUUUGGUCGUCAGUAUACCUGGGCCAACAACCGUUCGGUGCUGACCUUUGAAAAACUGGACCGGGUGCUAGUUACCACUGACUGGGAAUACAAAUAUCCCCUAGCAUCGGUUCGGGCACUAGAAAGAAUUGAGGCCUUAUCGGAUCAUGCUCCGUUGCUAACCUAUUUUGGACAACCAAUCCCGAGUUCUAAUCGCCACCAGUUUAAAUUUGAACUGGGAUGGCUCACUAGAGAGGGAUUUCAGGUGCUAGUUAAGAAAGUGUGGGCACGCCAGCCCCGCGGUAACACACCCAUCCAAAGAUGGAAUAAUCGAAUCCGCGCCUUGCGUCGAUUCCUUCGAGGAUGGGCCAAGCAUACUACUGGCAUUUACAAAAAAGAAAAGUUGUGUUUAUCUACCCUAAUUGAUUCCCUUGACAAAAUAGCGAAGGUGAGGCCUCUGUCUGCUGUUGAGAUCGAGCAAAAAAGCAAUCUUAACGAGCAGAUUGCCCGCCUACUACGUGAGGAGGAGAUUAAAUGGUACCAACGUAGCAAGGCGGAUUCGUUAGUGCAAGGUGAUGAUAAUACGAAAUACUUUCAGAUGCUAGCCAAUGGCAGACAUAGAAAGAAGCAUAUAUUCUCAGUU